rnacentral:rRNA from 1 species
AGAACGAACGCUGGCGGCGUGCCUAACACAUGCAAGUCGAACGAGAAAGGGGCUUCGGCUCCGAGUAAAGUGGCGCACGGGUGAGUAACACGUGGGUAACCUGCCUUUAAGUUUGGGAUAACCCGUCGAAAGACGAGCUAAUACCGAAUAAGACCACAGCUUCUCUGGAAGCCGGGGGUCAAAGAUAGCCACUACAUGUAAGCUAUCGCUUAGAGAUGGGCCUGCGUACCAUUAGCUAGUUGGUAGGGUAACGGCUUACCAAGGCUAAGAUGGUUAGCUGGUCUGAGAGGAUGAUCAGCCACACUGGAACUGAGACACGGCCCAGACUCCUACGGGAGGCAGCAGUCGGGAAUUUUGCGCAAUGGACGAAAGUCUGACGCAGCAACGCCGCGUGAGGGAUGAAGGCCUUCGGGUUGUAAACCUCUUUUAUCGAGGGAAGAUAAUGACGGUACCUGAUGAAUAAGUCACGGCUAACUACGUGCCAGCAGCCGC